ensembl:lncRNA
AUGGCAAUCAAUGAUCAAUGGCAUUUUGCGUAUUAAUGAUCAAGGAACUGACCUCACAGCCCAUUGUUCAUUCAGUGGGCUGGUUUCAGUCAUUGUGCAAAGAUACUGUAUAAGGCUGGGGAAACCCACAGUCAGCUGAGACUGAAGAAGUCACUUGGAUGAGUGACGAAAUGUUUCUCCAGCUGAAAAUGUUACAUCCAGAUGAACAGAAUCAACCUUUCGGGAUUUACUUACCUGGAUGAUUGAGUAUCCAUCAAGAUAUUGUGUCCAUGUUUAUGACCAAAAAAUAUGAUGGGCAUUAAACUCUUGAAAAAGGUUUAUUGCAUAGAAAUAAUCGCAGCGACUUCAUAUUGAACACUAAAAUGAACUUAUGUUAAAUUCACUUGUGUCACUUGUCUGUGCUUCGUCAUUUGCACAAACUGAAAAGAACCACCGAAAGUGCUUGUUGUAGCGUGAAAAAAUGGUUCAUAAUUCCGCCAAAGUUAUAUGUCAACAGCGUCAUUAAAAAAAUUAAAAUAAAAAAGGAAAUAGAGACUGACAGUGAAUGACAAAAAAAAACAAGAUUUGGGUCCAUCUUUGCUUAUGGAGGUAAAAAAACGGGUUGAAAAUUUAGCACUUAAACAUAAUUGUCCCUAAAGAGCAUCAGUGUUUGGAUCCAGUGUCUUUAUAUUCACAGCUAACGCCGCCCCCCUCCUGUAUUACACAGAUCUUACCUCAGCCCUUUGUAGGAGUAAAAAUCCCCCUUUAGUCUCCUGCCUUUGUUUCAGCUUCACAGAUAAAACAGAUUUGAAAGUGAAUUCAGUGCAGGUUCCUCAACAUGGUGUUAUUGCAGAAAAAAAGAGUAUCUACUGUUUCAUUCUCCACUUCGCUGUGCAUCAGUCGUCAGCACAAACUUCCAACCAGGCAAAAAAAAGAAGAAGAAACAACCAACCAUUGUACUGUAAUAACCCUGUGUGUGUGUGUUUGUGUUUUUUUCUGCACUAUGUCCUUCCCUCUGUUGUCCCCCUCCUUUUGGUGGAUGGUGCUUGUUUAGACUUUGUUAUUGUUUCUUUAUGUAACGCUGCUGAGC